AAGUCAACAUGGGCAGAGAACAUGAAGUUCUCAUCACAGUCACUGUCUUACUGAGCUUCCUCACAGAUUCGCUGGACUGUGUUAUUGCACAGCAAAAACCACCUGAGCUUCUGAGACACUCUGGACAGAAAGAAGCACAGCUUCAGUGUCACAAUGGUGACAGCAGCUACCCCUACAUGUUCUGGUACCAGCAGCAAGGAGGAAAGGGCUCCAUCGAGCUGAUUGGAUAUCUCCAUUACGAAAACGCUGUUCUUGAGGAAAAGUUCCAAAUGAGGUUUAACAUUUCAGGGCACUCCAAGACUGACGCCUCUCUGAUAAUCGCUAACAUAAAAUCUGAGGACACGGCAAUAUAUUUCUGCGCAGUAAGUAAAGCACGCGCUAUCGCCAAGAAGCGCAGGCGUGCAGGGUCUUGUGCACACAUCAUCAAAUCAGAAACGAGCUCCCAGAAUCAUCUCUAA